AACAUUUUGUACAAUUUAUGACCUCAUGAUUUUUAUUGACAAUUAAUCCAUUUCUUGGUCUAUUUAUGCAGCAAAUUGAUGGUGAUAGUAAUGGAACACCUGAGUUUUGAAAGGUAAAUAAUUUGUUCAAGGCAGUUCUGAUUAUUGUUACUCUUUGUUUACACUAAUUAGUUUCGUCUUCAAUUCUCAAAACUCUCACGACUCUUAACAAAUAGAUUAUAAAUGAGUUUCUUAACAUCCAUCAUCUUUUUCCUUUAUAUUGAAACUAGGAUAGCUGCAAUUGAAACAGAAAUUGAAAAAAGCAAGCAAAGACACCAAGCAGGUAUACAGUGUGACGAAAAGCUACAAUUUUCUUGGAAGGAUAAACCUCAUUUGUUUUUGACUAUAAGCAAGUGGUCUGUAAGAAUCUAAUAUCAUUUUUAUGAGUUGAAAUUUGAUCUAUUUGAAUUAGUUUUCAAAUUUGAUCUAUUUAAAUUACUU
rnacentral:sRNA from 1 species